rnacentral:lncRNA from 1 species
UGCCAAUCUUCACACGACAAAGUACAUGUUUAGUACAUGUCAUCUUAAUGUAUGCCGUUGUGCGCAAUAACUUUCAAGUCUGUUGAAUGCGGUAGUUUAGGAUUGACGAUGCUCAAAUCCGGGAAAUGAUUUUGCAUAGUUGGAAUUGAAAGGAACUUCCUAUUUUUGGAACUGCCAGGGUUUUUGUAAUAAUAGAAUUUAUUUUUAAAUUGAACAAAAACACAUUUGUUAUUGUCAUAACAGAAAGAUAAGAAUAAAUAUAUAAACAAUUUGCCUAGAUAAACGACUUGAGUUUAUAUAGAAGGAAGUCGCGAACAAUUUUAUACACGUAUAUUAACUGAUCAAAACAAACAUUUGUAAAUGAUAUAUAUAUAUAGUACGCAGGAAAAAAGUAAAGUAAAUCAAAUAUGUACCUAAAGUACUAGUGAUCAAAGGUAUUUUAAAAUUGUAAAGCUGAUAGGUGGUGGAUAAAGGUUGUUACUCUAUUGACGUAUAUUUAUCGAACUAUAAAGUAAAUACUAGCCUGUGAAAAUUCAGGAAGCUAUAAAUAAAACACGCGAUUGGUUGGUUUAAUGUUCAAUAGGUUUUUCCCUUAGUCAGUUAUAACAGGUAAACACAUUUUGAAACGGUAUUUGGUGAAAUGGCGUUUUCGUUAAUAGAUGCAGUACGCUGUGGAGAUAAAGAAACAGCGAAAAAAAUAUUAAUGAACAAAAAGUAUACUGCUAUUGAUAUACAAGGUUCGAAAAAUGAUGGAACUGCAUUAUUCUGGGCAUGUUGUCGCGGAUUUUUGGACAUAUUACAUAUAUUAGUUAUUCAAGGGGCUAGUUUGAACUCAAAGACUGCUUGGGGAGCAACACCAAUACACGCAGCUUGUGAUAACAACCAACCUGAAAUCGUAAGGUAUGUAUGAUAGUAUGAUAAAAUA